rnacentral:rRNA from 1 species
GACGAACGCUGGCGGCGUGCCUAAUACAUGCAAGUUGAGCGCUGAAGGUUGGUACUUGUACCAACUGGAUGAGCAGCGAACGGGUGAGUAACGCGUGGGGAAUCUGCCUUUGAGCGGGGGACAACAUUUGGAAACGAAUGCUAAUACCGCAUAAAAACUUUAAACACAAGUUUUAAGUUUGAAAGAUGCAAUUGCAUCACUCAAAGAUGAUCCCGCGUUGUAUUAGCUAGUUGGUGAGGUAAAGGCUCACCAAGGCGAUGAUACAUAGCCGACCUGAGAGGGUGAUCCGCCCACUUGGGACUGGGACCCGGCCCAAACUCCUACGGGAGGCAGCAGUAGGGAAUCUUCGGCAAUGGACGGAAGUCUGACCGAGCAACGCCGCGGGAGUGAAGAAGGUUUUCGGAUCGUAAAACUCUGUUGGUAGAGAAGAACGUUGGUGGGAGUGGAAAGCUCAUCAAGUGACGGUAACUACCCAGAAGGGGACGGCUAACUACGUG